UGAGAGUUUGAUCCUGGCUCAGGAUGAACGCUGGCGGCGUGCUUAACACAUGCAAGUCGAACGGUGAAGCUCAGCUUGCUGGGUGGAUCAGUGGCGAACGGGUGAGUAACACGUGAGCAAUCUGCCCCUGACUCUGGGAUAAGCGCUGGAAACGGCGUCUAAUACUGGAUACGAACCGUGGAGGCAUCUUCAACGGUUGGAAAGAUUUUUUGGUCAGGGAUGAGCUCGCGGCCUAUCAGCUUGUUGGUGAGGUAAUGGCUCACCAAGGCGUCGACGGGUAGCCGGCCUGAGAGGGUGACCGGCCACACUGGGACUGAGACACGGCCCAGACUCCUACGGGAGGCAGCAGUGGGGAAUAUUGCACAAUGGGCGAAAGCCUGAUGCAGCAACGCCGCGUGAGGGAUGACGGCCUUCGGGUUGUAAACCUCUUUUAGCAGGGAAGAAGCGAAAGUGACGGUACCUGCAGAAAAAGCGCCGGCUAACUACGUGCCAGCAGCCGCGGUAAUACGUAGGGCGCAAGCGUUAUCCAGAAUUAUUGGGCGUAAAGAGCUCGUAGGCGGUUUGUCGCGUCUGCUGUGAAAUCCCGAGGCUCAACUUCGGGUCUGCAGUGGGUACGGGCAGACUAGAGUGCGGUAGGGGAGAUUGGAAUUCCUGGUGUAGCGGUGGAAUGCGCAGAUAUCAGAGGAACACCGAUGGCGAAGCAGAUCUCUGGGCCGUAACUG
rnacentral:rRNA from 1 species